rnacentral:pre_miRNA from 1 species
AAUACCAUGGUUUUCCACGUCCAACUUUAACCAUUUGUCUUAUUUAAAAAAAAUUAAAAAAAUUAAAAACAUAAGUCACGAGUAAAGUACUAUUCAUGUUUUAUCAUCUUAUAACAAUAAAAAUAUUAAUUAUAAAAAAAUUUUAAAUAAGACGGACUAUCAAAGUUGGACGCGGAAAAUCAUGGCUGCAUUUAUU